rnacentral:rRNA from 1 species
GAUGAACGCUGGCGGCGUGCCUAAUACAUGCAAGUCGAGCGAACAGACGAGGAGCUUGCUCCUCUGACGUUAGCGGCGGACGGGUGAGUAACACGUGGAUAACCUACCUAUAAGACUGGGAUAACUUCGGGAAACCGGAGCUAAUACCGGAUAAUAUAUUGAACCGCAUGGUUCAAUAGUGAAAGACGGUUUUGCUGUCACUUAUAGAUGGAUCCGCGCCGCAUUAGCUAGUUGGUAAGGUAACGGCUUACCAAGGCAACGAUGCGUAGCCGACCUGAGAGGGUAAUCGGCCACACUAGAACUGAGACACGGUCCAGACUCCUACGGGAGGCAGCAGUAGGGAAUCUUCCGAAAUGGGCGAAAGCCUGACGGAGCAACGCCGCGUGAGUGAUGAAGGUCUUCGGAUCGUAAAACUCUGUUAUUAGGGAAGAACAAAUGUGUAAGUAACUAUGCACGUCUUGACGGUACCUAAUCAGAAAGCCACGGCUAACUACGUG